rnacentral:ncRNA from 1 species
GAAAGCCGUAUACAUUGAGAGGUGUAAGUACGGUUUGGGGGCGAGUACUUGAAAACCUACCAUAGAAAUAUGGAAAGGCGUUGGGUGCUUAGCCUAC